CCUGGAUUAACUGACUGGUUAAGACUGUAGCUUUCCCACUCAAAUGAUUAUGUAUGCAUUUAUAUUUUCACCUGUGGAAUUCCACACGCCUCCCUGAUGUAAAUGCCUUGAAGAGAGAUGGCCAAAGCUCUGCAGAAGUGUCGGCGCUUUUCUAAGUGGGGGCUUGGAGCAAUUGUACCUGUGCGACUGGCUGCUCAUCACCCUUCACGUUUCUAUGGCAAGAGAGGAGACAGUCAUGCCCACCUGUGGGACCAUCAUCCUGAGGCUUAAAACAAGCUAAUUACAAAAUUUUAACUUU